rnacentral:rRNA from 1 species
UACGAAGGGGGCUAGCGUUGUUCGGAAUUACUGGGCGUAAAGCGCGUGUAGGCGGGUCUUUUAAGUCAGGGGUGAAAUGCCAGGGCUCAACCUUGGAACUGCCUUUGAUACUGGAGACCUUGAGUCCGGGAGAGGUGAGUGGAGUUGCGAGUGUAGAGGUGAAAUUCGUAGAUAUUCGCAAGAACACCAGUGGCGAAGGCGGCUCACUGGCCCGGAACUGGACGCUGAGACGCGAAAGCGUGGGGAGCAA